rnacentral:rRNA from 1 species
GACGAACGCUGGCGGCGUGCUUAACACAUGCAAGUCGAACGGAAAGGCCCUGCUUUUGUGGGGUGCUCGAGUGGCGGACGGGUGAGUAACACGUGAGUAACCUGCCCUUGACUUUGGGAUAACUUCAGGAAACUGGGGCUAAUACCGGAUAGGAGCUCCUGCUGCAUGGUGGGGGUUGGAAAGUUUCGGCGGUUGGGGAUGGACUCGCGGCUUAUCAGCUUGUUGGUGGGGUAGUGGCAUACCAAGGCUUUGACGGGUAGCCGGCCUGAGAGGGUGACCGGCCACAUUGGGACUGAGAUACGGCCCAGACUCCUACGGGAGGCAGCAGUGGGGAAUAUUGCACAAUGGGCGGAAGCCUGAUGCAGCAACGCCGCGUGCGGGAUGACGGCCUUCGGGUUGUAAACCGCUUUCGCCUGUGACGAAGCGUGAGUGACGGUAAUGGGUAAAGAAGCACCGGCUAACUACGUG